rnacentral:rRNA from 1 species
GACGAACGCUGGCGGCGUGCUUAACACAUGCAAGUCGAACGGAAAGGCCCUGCUUUUGUGGUGUGCUCGAGUGGCACACGGGUGUGUCACACGUGAGUAACCUGCCCUUGACUUUGGGAUAACUUCAGGAAACUGGGGCUAAUACCGGAUAGGAGCCUCUGCUGCAUGGUGGGGGUUGGAAAGUUUCGGCGGUUGGGGAUGGACUCGCGGCUUAUCAGCUUGUUGGUGGGGUAGUGGCUUACCAAGGCUUUGACGGGUAGCCGGCCUGAGAGGGUGACCGGCCACAUUGGGACUGAGAUACGGCCCAGACUCCUACGGGAGGCAGCAGUGGGGAAUAUUGCACAAUGGGCGGAAGCCUGAUGCAGCAACGCCGCGUGCGGGAUGACGGCCUUCGGGUUGUAAACCGCUUUCGCCUGUGACGAAGCGUGAGUGACGGUAAUGGGUAAAGAAGCACCGGCUAACUACGUG